AGAGUUUGAUCCUGGCUCAGGACGAACGCUGGCGGCGUGCUUAACACAUGCAAGUCGAACGGAAAGGCCCUUCGGGGUACUCGAGUGGCGAACGGGUGAGUAACACGUGGGUGAUCUGCCCUGCACUUUGGGAUAAGCCUGGGAAACUGGGUCUAAUACCGAAUAGGACCACGCGCUUCAUGGUGUGUGGUGGAAAGCUUUUGCGGUGUGGGAUGGGCCCGCGGCCUAUCAGCUUGUUGGUGGGGUAAUGGCCUACCAAGGCGACGACGGGUAGCCGGCCUGAGAGGGUGACCGGCCACACUGGGACUGAGAUACGGCCCAGACUCCUACGGGAGGCAGCAGUGGGGAAUAUUGCACAAUGGGCGCAAGCCUGAUGCAGCGACGCCGCGUGAGGGAUGACGGCCUUCGGGUUGUAAACCUCUUUCAAUAGGGACGAAGCGCAAGUGACGGUACCUAUAGAAGAAGCACCGGCCAACUACGUGCCAGCAGCCGCGGUAAUACGUAGGGUGCGAGCGUUGUCCGGAAUUACUGGGCGUAAAGAGCUCGUAGGUGGUUUGUCGCGUUGUUCGUGAAAACUCACAGCUUAACUGUGGGCGUGCGGGCGAUACGGGCAGACUAGAGUACUGCAGGGGAGACUGGAAUUCCUGGUGUAGCGGUGGAAUGCGCAGAUAUCAGGAGGAACACCGGUGACGAAGGCGGGUCUCUGGGCAGUAACUGACGCUGAGGAGCGAAAGCGUGGGGAGCGAACAGGAUUAGAUACCCUGGUAGUCCAA
rnacentral:rRNA from 1 species